CGAACACAACUCUAAAAUGUUGUACCAAUAGCAUUAAACAUUGUACUACACCAUUUGAGCCAUAUUCCCUAGAAAAUAAACACCUGUACUACACGUGUCUACCUCCUCUAAUUUUCAAUAAUUUUUCUUUGGUUCUUUUUCUACUUUUUCUAUUUUUCAUUUUCCUCAUUCUCACUCUUGGCGGAGAAGGAGAAGAAGAGAUUUAGAAAUGGAGGUAUUACAUUUUUGGAGAGGAAGAGCUUGAUGGAAAAAUCAGAGGAGCGUGAUUCGAGUGCGAGCUGAUGCAUCAAUUUGGUGAUGAAAUUUCAUAUUUGACUAGGGAAAUUCAAGAAUUCACUUUGCCUUAAUUUCAUCGCCAUGGCUGUGGAGCUUUCUUUUGGAGUUCACCGACAUCUCUUGUGUUUACAACCUUCUUUUUUCUCAACCGUACAAAGGCAUUUUACAGUGGUUGUUAAAGAGUAAAAAGGAUUUUUAUGCUGAUUUUGAGUGUUUUUGACCGCCUCAAUUUGUUAACUUACAGGAAUUCUUUAACCACUUGAUAUUACCGGUAUGCUACCAUCAAAACAAAUUAUGCGUGACAACAUGUGGAGGAUAUUAAGCUCUUAUGUACUCAAUGUACCUAUCAGAAAGAAAAUAUCACACAUUUUGACAAAGGAAGAGAAUCAGUUAGAGAAUGCAUUGUCUUAUUUGUCAUUGUUUAGGAGAAUACAUAACAAGAAUGGUACUCUACUUUUAGGAAAAUUUUGCUGGAUAGAUUUAAAAAAUUCUACCUAAAAUAAGAAAAUGAAGGAACUGAUUGCUUCCAUAUGUGGAAGGCAGUGUUCAUUAACAUUCUUACAUAUUUGUAAUUUUUUUGCACUUAUAAUGGCUUGGCUUCUUCAAUUACUUGUCAAAUAUGUGUU